rnacentral:rRNA from 1 species
UUUUCCGGAGCGGGCCGACCGGUCUGCCGAUGGGUAUGCCCUUUGAACGGCGCGUCCUUCCACCCGGAGACCGCGCCUACUUUUAACUGAGCGGGCGCGGGAGACGGGUCUUUUACUUUGAAAAAAUCAGAGUGUUUCAAGCAGGCAGUCGCUCUUGCAUGGAUUAGCAUGGGAUAAUGAAAUAGGACUCUGGUGCUAUUUUGUUGGUUUCGAACACCGGAGUAAUGAUUAACAGGGACAGUCAGGGGCACUCGUAUUCCGCCGAGAGAGGUGAAAUUCUCAGACCAGCGGAAGACGAACCACUGCGAAAGCAUUUGCCAGGGAUGUUUUCACUGAUCAAGAACGAAAGUUAGGGGAUCGAAGACGAUCAGAUACCGUCGUAUUCUUAACCAUAAACCAUGCCGACUAGGGAUUGGAGGAUGUUCCAUUUGUGACUCCUUCAGCACCUUUCGGGAAACUAAAGUCUUUGGGUUCCGGGGGGAGUAUGGUCGCAAGGCUGAAACUUAAAGGAAUUGACGGAAGGGCACCACCAGGAGUGGAGCCUGCGGCUUAAUUUGACUCAACACGGGGAAACUUACCAGGUCCAGACAUUGUGAGGAUUGACAGAUUGAGAGCUCUUUCUUGAUUCGAUGGGUGGUGGUGCAUGGCCGUUCUUAGUUGGUGGAGUGAUUUGUCUGGUUAAUUCCGUUAACGAAC